rnacentral:rRNA from 1 species
GUCUACGGCCAUGCCACCCUGAAAGUGCCUGAUCUCAUCUGAUCUCGGAAGCUAAGCAGGAUUGGGCCUGGUUAGUACUUGGAUGGGAGACCAUCUCGGAAUACCAGGUGCUGUAGGUG